UACGUAGGGUCCGAGCGUUGUCCGGAAUUAUUGGGCGUAAAGAGCUCGUAGGCGGCUUGUCGCGUCGACUGUGAAAUCCCGCGGCUCAACCGCGGGUCUGCAGUCGAUACGGGCAGGCUAGAGUUCGGUAGGGGAGACUGGAAUUCCUGGUGUAGCGGUGAAAUGCGCAGAUAUCAGGAGGAACACCGAUGGCGAAGGCAGGUCUCUGGGCCGAUACUGACGCUGAGGAGCGAAAGCGUGGGGAGCGAACAGG
rnacentral:rRNA from 1 species